rnacentral:rRNA from 1 species
AUACAGAGGGUGCAAGCGUUAAUCGGAAUUACUGGGCGUAAAGCGCGCGUAGGCGGUUUAAUCAGUCGGAUGUGAAAGCCCCGGGCUCAACCUGGGAACUGCAUUCGAUACUGUUAAGCUAGAGUAUGGUAGAGGGAAGUGGAAUUCCAGGUGUAGCGGUGAAAUGCGUAGAUAUCUGGAGGAACAUCAGUGGCGAAGGCGACUUCCUGGACCAAUACUGACGUUGAGGUGCGAAAGCGUGGGGAGCAAACAGGAUUAGAUACCCUUGUAGUCC